UAUAAAAAAAAGAGAGAGCUUAGAGAAAAAAGUUUUCCCAACUUCUCAUUCCGCCUUCAGUUCCAGACUUCAGAGUCACCGUGAUCAGCGACCUUUUUCCGGACAGUUUUUCCCAUUGAUAGUCGCAGCAAACGGAGCUACAAUGUGGAAACCUUAAAGUCAAAGAUGUACUCUGAAUUUCACUGAAAGCAUCAUGAUCCCAAGCAUUAAAGAUCCAACACUACUGUAAUUUCCACAUGACAAUUACAAUUUGAGGAUGUGUCUUCAGAGUCAAAUGGACAUAUAAAGUGGAUUACCGGUAGCAAAAGACAGCUCAUGAUGUAAACACUCAGGGAUGACUUUGCGGGUCAAUAAAAAUAUUUAUGUCACAUGUUUUAAGUAAUGUCUAUUGACUCAUGUUUGAGCUUCCAAUAUAUUUAGUUCUUUUUAAAAAUGGCAAUGUGGGGGCGCCUGCGUGGCUCAGUCGGUUAAGCGACCGACUUCAGCUCAGGUCAUGAUCUCACAGUCCAUGAGUUCGAGCCCCGCGUCGGGCUCUGUGCUGAUAGCUCAGAGCCUGGAGCCUGCUUCAGAUUCUGUGUCUCCCUCUCUGUCUGACCCUCCCUUGUUCGUGCUCUGUCUCUCUCUGUCUCAAAAAUAAAUAAACA